UGUACCGUUCCCAAACAAAGGGCUUGUAAAAUGAACAGCAAAACUGAGCGUGUGGACAGAGUUCCUUUCCUUUAUAUACAUCAAACAUAACCAGCUGUGUGAAAAAGGAGCAAGAUUCACUGCUCUGUGGCUUCAUCCCAUGUUGUUCCUGCAGCAUCUGAACUCAGGGGAUUGUAGGAGAAGGAAAAGUCAUAGUUAUACUUAUUUUCCACAUGGACAUGAAGCCCUCCUGCAAGGAACCACAUCAUUGAUCCCUGUCUCAGGAUCUUCUGGAUGGGGAAAACUACACUAGAUGAAAUUUUCUCCUUCAGCGCGGAAAAUCUAAGCAGACUGAACUUGUUGCAAAUGUAGGAGUAGCCUCUUCUAAUAAACAACUCUUGUUAUGUAUGAAUGUAAUAAUCAGGACCAUUAAUUAAAUUUUGUAAGAACACAUGA